rnacentral:piRNA from 2 species
UCCAGGUGGAAAGAGGAAGGCUGGAAAGUC